GUAGUUUAAGAAAAUUAUUUGGUCAAACGAUUUCAUAUAAAACAUCGAUCCAGCCUUCAAAGUCGCUCUUAAUGCUUAAAAAACUAUAUAAAAUAACUCUGAAACAGGAAGUCUGGACGUGUUUACAGCUCUGGAGCUCCAGCGAGCAGCAGCUCACUGCGUUCUUCCUGCUAGAACGUUCAUGAUGGAAGGGAGCGAAAACUUUCGCAUCACCAUGCUUCUCACACGUUAACAAAAACUCCGUGAUAUGAAAGUCCAGAGAGACCACACAUUAUUAUUAUUAUUAUUAUUCGUGUUUUUCUCAAGUCCGUCCACCAUGGCUGAUAUGGACCAGGUGAUUACGUCAUCGCAUCAUCAUCGUCCUCAACGCCAUCGCAUCUCAGAUCAGCACCAUGGUUUAAUCAUGAAGAAGAUCGGGAAGUGGAACUGGAACGCUGACUCAAAGCAAAUCGUCAAAGCUAGCUUGAUAUCCAUAAAACAUUAGCUGAAAAGCCCUUAACUAAACUACCCACGUAAAGUGUCAGCGUCUGAGGCUCCGCCCACAGGAUACAGCGAGCAUCUGAUUUCUCUUUCGUACCCUUUUCUGGCCACAAGAUUCAGGAUGGUCAAGAUUUACGUUCUGAUUGGUUCUCUGUGCACAGCGUUCCGACACUUCGGAGGAAGAACCAAAAAAAGUUCAUGGAGAACAGUUUUUAAAGGCAGUUAGCGGUGAAUAAACAAACAAACAAACAAACAAACAAACAAACAAAAUCUCACAGGGUUGAGGAAAAGGCUGCGCUUGGUCGAGUGCCGUGUCAAUCAAACGGCUUCCUUCUCUGAAAGUGGGCAGGGCUUAGACACGUUUAUUUAUUAAACAUGGUCGGGAAGUCUGGCUCGCAAGACGAGGUCUAUAGCUACGCUGGUUUGUUUUGUUUAUUCAAAACAUUCAGAACCCUAUAACAGAGUGUUUGUCUAUCGGAAAAGGGUUCUUUGUAAAUAAUAUAGACCUCUAUACCAGUUUCCCAAUUAGGAAAAGUUCUGGGUUGAACCCCUUUAGAAAGCCAAGAGAAUUAACAUACAACAAGAAACCUUAAAUACUGCAGAACCCUACAAACGAGAGUUUCUCAGAAAGCAGAACAGUUAUUUAGAACUCGCUUAUCAAAUGAGCCCUUAAAUAACACAGAACCCUGAAGGCUCCAUAGAGAGCCCUUAACAACCAUCAUGUCUCACAAAGCGCCCUACAACUUAGGGUUUAUCAGAAAGGGUUUCAAGUACAACCCUCGGUUAGCCAACAGGAGAGUCCCUUAACGUCCUUAUAGGAGAAGGUUCCGAGCAGAACCGUUGUAGAGAGCUAAGAAACCUUAAAAGAACGUUAAAUCCAUCCUACAACUGAGAACUGAUCAGAAAGUAGAACCCUUACAAGAAGUCAAGACCUCCUCAUCAUCCAAUGAGCCAAUAAACAACACGGAACCCGAGAACCGAUUCGCUAUCAGAGAAAAACCCAACAGCACAGUGACUACCAGCAGAAACGUUUUUGAAGGCCAGGAACCCUCGAAGAACCUUUCAAUAUAGAAAUACAGAAGCUUAUGGGUUUUUUUAUAUAUAUUUUU
ensembl:lncRNA